rnacentral:rRNA from 1 species
CCAAUAGCGUAUAUUAAAGUUGCUGCAGUUAAAAAGCUCGUAGUUGAAUUUCGGGAUCAAUAUGUUGGUCGUGCCCUGGUACGUACUAGCUUAUUGGUUUCUCCCUUCUGACGAACCAUGAUGUCAUUAAUUUGGUGUCAUGUGGAAUCAGGACUGUUACUUUGAAAAAAUUAGAGUGUUUAAAGCAGGCUCACGCUUGAAUACAUUAGCAUGGAAUAAUGAAAUAGGACAUUUGAUUCUAUUUUGUUGGUUUCUAGGAUCGACGUAAUGAUUAAUAGGGAUAGUUGGGGGCAUUAGUAUUCAAUUGUCAGAGGUGAAAUUCUUGGAUUUAUUGAAGACUAACUACUGCGAAAGCAUUUGCCAAGGAUGUUUUCAUUAAUCAAGAACGAAAGUUAGGGGAUCGAAGACGAUCAGAUACCGUCGUAGUCUUAACCAUAAACUAUGCCGACUAGGGAUCGGAUGAUGUUAAUUUUUUAAUGACUCAUUCGGCGCCUUACG